GAUGAACGCUAGCGGCAGGCUUAACACAUGCAAGUCGAGGGGUAACAGGGAGCUUGCUUCGCUGACGACCGGCGCACGGGUGCGUAACGCGUAUACAAUCUACCUUUUGCUACGGGAUAGCCCGGAGAAAUUUGGAUUAACACCGUAUAGUAUGUAAGAUUCGCAUGAAUUUUAUAUUAAAGGUUACGGCAAAAGAUGAGUAUGCGUUCUAUUAGCUAGAUGGUGUGGUAACGGCAUACCAUGGCAACGAUAGAUAGGGGCCCUGAGAGGGGGAUCCCCCACACUGGUACUGAGACACGGACCAGACUCCUACGGGAGGCAGCAGUGAGGAAUAUUGGACAAUGGGCGAGAGCCUGAUCCAGCCAUGCCGCGUGCAGGAAGACUGCCCUAUGGGUUGUAAACUGCUUUUAUACAGGAAGAAACACCUCUACGUGUAGAGGCUUGACGGUACUGUAAGAAUAAGGAUCGGCUAACUCCGUGCCAGCAGCCGCGGUAAUACGGAGGAUCCAAGCGUUAUCCGGAAUCAUUGGGUUUAAAGGGUCCGUAGGUGGAUAAUUAAGUCAGAGGUGAAAUCCUGCAGCUCAACUGUAGAAUUGCCUUUGAUACUG
rnacentral:rRNA from 1 species